GAUGAACGCUGGCGGCAUGCCUAACACAUGCAAGUCGAACGGGAAGAGGUGUUUCUUGUGGCGGUCGGGUGAGCAACGCGCAAGAACCUGCCCCGGGGAGGGGAACACCAGCUGGAAAGGGUAGCUAAUACACCGUAGGCCGAGGAGCAAAAGGUGGAAUCAGCCCGAGGGGGCGCUCGCGUCGGACGAGUUAGUUGGUGAGGCAAUAGCUUACCAAGGCGGUGAUGAGUAGCCGAUCCGAGAGGAUGAUCAGCCACACGGGAACAGAGACACGGCCCAGACUGCGAAGGGAGGCAGGAGUAGGGAAUCUUCGGGAAUGGGCGGAGGGGUGACGGCGCAAAGGCGCGAGAGGGAUGAAGGUCUUCGGAUCGUAAAACUAUGUUAUUAGGGGAGAACAAAUGUGUAUGUCCCGAUGAACGGCUUGACGGUACCUAGGGAGAAAGCCACGGCUAACUCCGUG
rnacentral:rRNA from 1 species